rnacentral:rRNA from 1 species
UACGAAGGGGGCUAGCGUUGCUCGGAAUCACUGGGCGUAAAGGGUGCGUAGGCGGGUCUUUAAGUCAGGGGUGAAAUCCUGGAGCUCAACUCCAGAACUGCCUUCGAUACUGAAGAUCUUGAGUUCGGGAGAGGUGAGUGGAACUGCGAGUGUAGAGGUGAAAUUCGUAGAUAUUCGCAAGAACACCAGUGGCGAAGGCGGCUCACUGGCCCGAUACUGACGCUGAGGAGCGAAAGCGUGGGGAGCGAACAGG